rnacentral:lncRNA from 1 species
AGAUAGCGGCCUUGUGGGCUGAGCGAAGGAAUGGAGCAGGGGGGCCAUCAGCACAGUCGGUAAAUGUGCAUACAGUCCACUCUGGUGAUGGUGAAGCUAGCAGACAGUUGUCGGUUGAGGAAGUGGAAAAGGGUAGUAGUGGAGGGCGUUGAACCUAGUGGACGGGGUCAAGGAAGAGGAGGGGGCCGGGGAGAAGGACCAGGCGGCAGGGGGGUAGGGAGAGGGAAUCGUGGUCGAG